UUCAACAGCCAUCCUGACACCACAGCCCAGGGGUUGGUUACUUACUUCUGUCUCCAGCAGUCAGACAAGCACCAUGAAGAGGCUGCUGUGCUCUCUGCUGGGACUGCUGUGUGCCCAGGUUUUCUGGGUGAAAGGGCAGCAAGUGAAGCAGAGUCCUGUAUCCUUGGUGCUGCAGGAGGGAGAGAGCACAGAGCUGCAGUGCAACUUUUCCACCAGUGCAAGGCAAAUGCAGUGGUUUUACCAAAGCCCUGGGGGACACCUCAUCAGCCUGUUCUUCAAUCCUUCAGGAACAAAGCAGAGUGGAAGACUGAAGUCCACGACGGUCAUCCAGGAACGCCGCAGCUCUUUAUACAUUUCCUCCUCUCAGACCACAGACUCGGGCACUUAUUUCUGUGCUGUGGAUCCACAGUGCUCCCCACACACCUGCAGCCAGUACACAAACCUUCAGCUGGGUGGGUGUGGCCUUCCCCUGUUAUCAGACAUCAGAUUUCCACAAGAGAACAUCUGCUUGAUUUAAUAUCCCUGCUUGGUAUAGGCAGAGUUUUGAGUUUUAACCCUCAGGUAAGCUUUUGGCCAUGUAAAUUAAGGAUUUAGCUUUUUAAAUUCUCAAUAUACACUCCUUUCUGAUGCAUAAAUGUCCAUCUUAGAACUAACAGAGAAGCUGAUGGAAAGACUGAACCAAUGUCAGGUAAUUUGCUGUGGACAGGCUCAGGGUUAUGCAGAGAAAACAAACUGCAGCAACAGCAACAACAUCAAGUCAAAGAAGAUACAGGAUGUACAGACAGCUGGAUGUUCUAGCUUCCUUUCUGUUGCUGUGAUAAAGCUCUCAGAGAAAAAGCAACUUAGAAGGUGAAAGGAUUUAUUUAAAUUUCACUGCCAGGCCAUAGUCCAUCAUUAGUGGUAAUCAAGGUGGAAACUCAAACUGAAGAUUGAAACAGAAACCCUGGGGAAACUCUGUUGCUAGCUCCCUUACAGGCUCACACUUAACUAGCUCCUAAUAUGACCCAGGCCACUUUCACACAGAAUGGUGUUACCCACAAUGGGCAGGUCUCCAUUCAAUUCAUCAGUUAAAAAAACUUAGUGCAAUUUUAUUGAAUUUAUAGAAGACGUUGAGGAUAU